rnacentral:rRNA from 1 species
CCUACGGGAGGCUGCAGUGGGGAAUAUUUCACAAUGGGGGAAACCCUGAUGCAGCGACGCCGCGUGAGGGAAGAAGUAUUUCGGUAUGUAAAGCUCUAUCAGCAGGGAAGAAAAUGACGGUACCUGAUUAAUAAGCCCCGGCUAACUACGUGCCAGCAGCCGCGGUAAUACGUAGGGGGCAAGCGUUAUCCGGAUUUACUGGGUGUAAAGGGAGCGUAGACGGAAGCAAAAGUCUGAAGUGAAAUGCCGGGGCUUAACACGUGCACUGCUUUGGAAACUGUGAAGCUAGAGUGCAGGAGAGGUAAGUGGAAUUCCUGGUGUAGCGGUGAAAUGCGUAGAUAUUAGGAGGAACACC